rnacentral:rRNA from 1 species
UACGUAGGCAGCGAGCGUUGUUCGGAUUUACUGGGCGUAAAGGGUGUGUAGGCGGUUGUUUAAGUUUGGUGUGAAAUCUCCCGGCUCAACUGGGAGGGUGCGCCGAAUACUGAAUGACUUCGAGUGCGGGAGAGGAGAGCGGAAUUCCUGGUGUAGCGGUGAAAUGCGUAGAUAUCAGGAGGAACACCGGUGGUGUGGACGGCUCUCUGGACCGUAACUGACGCUGAGACACGAAAGCGUGGGUAGCAAACAGG